CAACUUUCAACAACGGAUCUCUUGGCUCUUGCAUCGAUGAAGAACGCAGCGAAAUGCGAUAAGUAAUGUGAAUUGCAGAAUUCCGUGAAUCAUCAAAUCUUUGAACGCAAAUUGCACUCUUUGGUAUUCCGAAGAGUAUGCUUGCUUGAGGGUUGUUUA
rnacentral:rRNA from 1 species